UAUAUACUCCCUCUGUCCGAAAAUACUUGUCAUCAAAAUGGACAAAAAGGGAUGUAUCUAGAUACAUCCCUUUUACCCAUUUUGAUGACAAGUAUUUCCGGACGGAGAGAGUAUAAU
rnacentral:pre_miRNA from 1 species